CGUGGGACCAGGCAAGAUGUUGGCAUAGCUGAACGAAGCUUCGGAUUCAGCCGUGCUACAUAAGGCCAUGCUCCCGCG
rnacentral:pre_miRNA from 1 species